AUUGAACGCUGGCGGCAUGCCUUACACACGCAAGUCGAACGGCAGCACGGGAGCAAUCCUGGUGGCGAGUGGCGAACGGGUGAGUAAAGUAUCGGAACGUGCCCAGUCGUGGGGGAUAACGUAGCGAAAGUUACGCUAAUACCGCAUACCCUCUAUGGAUGAAAGCGGGGGAUCGCAAGACCGCGCGCGAUAUGAGCGUCCGAUAUCAGAUUUGGUAGUUGGUGGGGUAAAGGCUCACCAAGCCGACGAUCUAUAGCUGGUCUGAGAGGACGACCAGCCACACUGGGACUGAGACACGGCCCAGACUCCUACGGGAGGCAGCAGUGGGGAAUUUUGGACAAUGGGCGAAAGCCUGAUCCAGCCAUGCCGCGUGCAGGAUGAAGGCCUUCGGGUUGUAAACUGCUUUUGUACGGAACGAAAAGGUUUGGCCUAAUAAGCUGAGCUCAUGACGGUACCGUAAGAAUAAGCACCGGCUAACUACGUGCCAGCCGCCGCCGUAA
rnacentral:rRNA from 1 species